rnacentral:lncRNA from 1 species
AGGCCAGCUCACCUCUCCUCUCCAGAGGAAGAGGAAAACCCUUCCCUCUGCUUGGUCUCUUGUGUCAUAGUGAGAUCCUGGCUGUACUACACAAGACUUCCCACGGAUGGCAGCCAUCAACCACUCCUCCAGGCAAAGCAAAGACCUUGUGUCCACUCAAGAGCUCUGAAGAUACCAUGAAUGAAGUAAAUUGCUCACAGAAGGAUGGCACCUGCAAUUAAAGCUUACACUCAAAAACUGUGGGAGAAGGGAAGAAAAUAGAAAGGCCAAAGAAAUCAGGAUGCCAGUUUGGAAGUCACAGAGCUGUACGUUUAUAUUACUGCCAUGUAAGUCACAUAAAGUAAUAACUGAAAUGCAUUAAAGGGAGCACAAUACAAAGACUCAUUAAGUCUCUGCAUGCAAAGCCAAGUCUCCAAUUUAUCACUUAUUUAGAUGGCAAGGGACCAGAAAACUCUGCUUUAAACCUUGGGGAAAAAAAAUAAUCAAAAGAGCUUGUAGCUAAGCGUGGUACAGAGGAGAAAAUACAUUUCUGGAGUUGCAGAUGGCAAGG